UACGUAGGGUGCAAGCGUUAAUCGGAAUUACUGGGCGUAAAGCGUGCGCAGGCGGUUAUGUAAGACAGUUGUGAAAUCCCCGGGCUCAACCUGGGAAUUGCAUCUGUGACUGCAUAGCUAGAGUACGGUAGAGGGGGAUGGAAUUCCGCGUGUAGCAGUGAAAUGCGUAGAGAUGCGGAGGAACACCGAUGGCGAAGGCAGCCCCCUGGGCUGACACUGACGCUCAGGCACGAAAGCGUGGGGAGCAAACAGG
rnacentral:rRNA from 1 species